rnacentral:rRNA from 1 species
GCAAGUCGACGGUGAAGAGGAGCUUGCUCCUUGGAUCAGUGGCGAACGGGUGAGUAACACGUGAGCAAUCUGCCCUUGACUCUGGGAUAACUGCGGGAAACUGUAGCUAAUACCGGAUAUUACCUUGGAAGGCAUCUUCUGGGGUGGGAAGAAUUUUGGUCAAGGAUGAGCUCGCGGCCUAUCAGCUAGUUGGUGAGGUAAUGGCUCACCAAGGCGACGACGGGUAGCCGGCCUGAGAGGGUGACCGGCCACACUGGGACUGAGACACGGCCCAGACUCCUACGGGAGGCAGCAGUGGGGAAUAUUGCACAAUGGGCGCAAGCCUGAUGCAGCAACGCCGCGUGAGGGACGACGGCCUUCGGGUUGUAAACCUCUUUUAGUAGGGAAGAAGCGACUGGGUUUUCCUGGGAGUGACGGUACCUGCAGAAAAAGCACCGGCUAACUACGUGCCAGCAGCCGCGGUAAUACGUAGGGUGCAAGCGUUGUCCGGAAUUAUUGGGCGUAAAGAGCUCGUAGGCGGUUUGUCGCGUCUGCUGUGAAAACCCGAGGCUCAACCUCGGGCCUGCAGUGGGUACGGGCAGACUAGAGUGCGGUAGGGGAGAUUGGAAUUCCUGGUGUAGCGGUGGAAUGCGCAGAUAUCAGGAGGAACACCAAUGGCGAAGGCAGAUCUCUGGGCCGUAACUGACGCUGAGGAGCGAAAGCAUGGGGA